UACGUAGGGGGCAAGCGUUGUCCGGAUUUACUGGGCGUAAAGAGCGUGUAGGCGGCCACGCAGGUCCGUUGUGAAAACUGGAGGCUCAACCUCCAGCUGUCGACGGAAACCGUAUGGCUAGAGUCCGGAAGAGGAGAGUGGAAUUCCUGGUGUAGCGGUGAAAUGCGCAGAUAUCAGGAAGAACACCAAUGGCGAAGGCAGCUCUCUGGGACGGUACUGACGCUGAGGCGCGAAAGCGUGGGGAGCAAACAGG
rnacentral:rRNA from 1 species